CCAGGACGAGCGUGAGCAGGAUGACAAACCCCAGCAUGAAGACAAUCCUGGGGAAAGUCAAGAAAAGGUGCUGCAGAGAAAGAGAGAAGGUGGUGUGUCCUGCUCUGACACCUCCACAAAGGUGCCUCAGGCACUCUCAGCUCUUUCAUAAACUUUACUACAUCAGCUAGUCACCGGAUGGAAAUUCCCUCUCUGUGAGCCACAUCUGCCGAGUGACAGAUCCCGGAGAUGGGAAUCUGGAGGAUGGGAAGUGCUGUGAGAAAAACCCCCCACUUCUAAAGUAUUCAGCAGGGGCAGUUUUCUAAAUCUAGUUAUGUGUAUAAAACAGAUAAAACCCCGCAGUCUGCCCCAAAACCCUGCACAAAACCCUGCAGUCUGCCCCAAAACCCUGCAGUCUGCCCCAAAACCCUACAGUCUGUCCCAGAACCCUACAGUCUGUCCCAGAACCCUACAGUCUGUCCCAGAACCCUACAGUCUGCCCCAAAACCCACCGUCUGUCCCAAAACCCUGUACUCUGCCCCAAAACCCUGUACUCUGCCCCAAAACCCUGCACAAAACCCUGCACUCUGCCCCAAAACCCUGUACUCUGCCCCAAAACCCUGCACACUGCCCCAAAACCCUGCACACUGCCCCAAAACCCUGGACUCUGCCCCAAAACCCACCAUCUGUCCCCAUGCAGGGGAGCAGGACGUGGUUCCUGACUGCAGAGUGCGAGCCAGGACAUUUCCCAGCGCGGACCCACCUGGACGAGGACGGGAAUCUCCACGGGCUGCUCCUGUCCCUGGGCAUCCAGGUAGGUGCCGUGCAGGAGGUUGGAGAGCAGCAGCAGCUGGAGCAGCAGUGCAGCCGUGACAGCGGCCACAGCCCCGGCCGUGGCCGUCAGGGACAGCAGGUAGAGCAGGAACACGCCGGCGUUGGCGGCCCCGAUGCAGUUGUUGACCCACACGCAGUGGUGGUCGAAGCGAUGCACGCACGUCCUGCACACACCUGCAGGAGGCAGGGGCAAAACAAGUGUCUUGGCAUUUCCUUUUUAAGUAAGCAGUUUGAUCUUUAUGUGUUUUUUUUUAAGCUGAAAGUAUGUGGGAGUUGAAGUCAGGGUUUAGCUGGCAGCUUUUGAAGCAAAUAAAUUCAAUUGUGUAUCCUAAGAAAA